rnacentral:rRNA from 1 species
AUUGAACGCUGGCGGCAUGCCUUACACAUGCAAGUCGAACGGCAGCACGGGUGCUUGCACCUGGUGGCGAGUGGCGAACGGGUGAGUAAUGCAUCGGAACGUACCCGGAAGUGGGGGAUAACGUAGCGAAAGUUACGCUAAUACCGCAUAUUCUGUGAGCAGGAAAGCGGGGGAUCUUCGGACCUCGUGCGUUCGGAGCGGCCGGUGUCGGCUUAGCUAGUUGGUGAGGUAAAGGCUCACCAAGGCGACGAUCCGUAGCGGGUCUGAGAGGAUGAUCCGCCACACUGGGACUGAGACACGGCCCAGACUCCUACGGGAGGCAGCAGUGGGGAAUUUUGGACAAUGGGGGCAACCCUGAUCCAGCCAUGCCGCGUGAGUGAAGAAGGCCUUCGGGUUGUAAAGCUCUUUUGUCAGGGAAGAAAUGGUCUGGGUUAAUACCCUGGGCAGAUGACGGUACCUGAAGAAUAAGCACCGGCUAACUACGUGCCAGCCGCCGCAGUAA